rnacentral:misc_RNA from 1 species
GAUGAAGAACGUAGCGAAAUGCGAUAAGUAAUGCGAAUUGCAGAAUUCAGUGAAUCAUCGAAUCUUUGAACGCACAUUGCGCCCCUUGGUAUUCCGAGGGGCAUGCCUGUUCGAGCGUCAUUAUAACCCCUCAAGCUCAGCUUGGUGUUGGGGCCUGCUGCACUGGCAGCCCUUAAAAUCAGUGGCGGCGCCAUCUGGCUCUAAGCGUAGUAAUUCUUCUCGCUAUGGAGUCCUGGUGGAUGCUUGCCAUCAACCCCCAAUUUUUCUAUGGUUGACCUCGGAUCAGGUAGGGAUACCCGCUGAACUUAAGCAUAUCAAAAGCGGAGGA